UGGUUAUAAUAGCAGAGAGGAUACACCUGUUCCCAUUCCGAACACAGAAGUUAAGCUCUCUAGCGCUGAUGGUACUUGGUGGGAAACUGCCUGGGAGAGUA
rnacentral:rRNA from 1 species